rnacentral:rRNA from 1 species
AACGUACGCUGGCGGCACGCCUAACACAUGCAAGUCGAACGAAGUAGCAAUACUUAGUGGCAGACGGGUGAGUAACAUGUAGGUAUCUGCCCUUUGGCCUGGAAUAACACGAGGAAACUUGUGCUAAUACCGGAUAAGUCUUUACGGAGAAAGCUUUAUGCACCAUUGGAUGAGCCUGCAAUUGAUUAGUUUGUUGGUGGGGUAAUGGCCUACCAAGACUGUGAUCAAUAGCUGAUUUGAGAGGAUGAUCAGCCACAUUGGGACUGAGACACGGCCCAAACUCCUACGGGAGGCAGCAGUGGGGAAUCUUGCACAAUGGAGGAAACUCUGAUGCAGCGAUGCCGCGUGAGUGAAGAAGGCCCUUGGGUUGUAAAGCUCUUUCGUCGGGGAAGAAAAUGACUGUACCCGAAUAAGAAGGUCCGGCUAACUUCGUGCCAGCAGCCGCGGUAAUACGAAGGGACCUAGCGUAGUUCGGAAUUACUGGGCUUAAAGAGUUCGUAGGUGGUUGAAAAAGUUAGUGGUGAAAUCCCAGAGCUUAACUCUGGAACUGCCAUUAAAACUUUUCAGCUAGAGUAUGAUAGAGGAAAGCAGAAUUUCUAGUGUAGAGGUGAAAUUCGUAGAUAUUAGAAAGAAUACCAAUUGCGAAGGCAGCUUUCUGGAUCAUUACUGACACUGAGGAACGAAAGCAUGGGUAGCGAAGAGGAUUAGAUACCCUCGUAGUCCAUGCCGUAAACGAUGUGUGCUAGACGUUGGAAAUUUAUUUUCAGUGUCGCAGGGAAACCGAUAAACACACCGCCUGGGGAGUACGACCGCAAGGUUAAAACUCAAAUGAAUUGACGGGGACCCGCACAAGUAGUGGAGCAUGUGGUUUAAUUCGAAGAUACGCGCAGAACCUUACCAACACUUGACAUGUUCGUCGCGACUCUAAGAGAUUAGAGUUUUCGGUUCGGCCGGACGAAACACAGGUGCUGCAUGGCUGUCGUCAGCUCGUGUCGUGAGAUGUUGGGUUAAGUCCCGCAACGAGCGCAACCCUCACUUUUAGUUGCCAUCAUUAAGUUGGGCACUCUGAAAGAACUGCCAGUGAUAAGCUGGAGGAAGGUGGGGAUGACGUCAAGUCCUCAUGGCCCUUACGUGUUGGGCUACACACGUGCUACAAUGGUAUCUACAACAGGAAGCAAGACUGCGAAGUUAAGCAAAUCCCUAAAAGAUACCUCAGUUCGGAUUGCACUCUGCAACUCGAGUGCAUGAAGCUGGAAUUACUAGUAAUCGUGGAUCAGCGUGCCACGGUGAAUGCGUUCCCGGGUCU